UCCCAGACUCCUACGGGAGGCAGCAGUGAGGAAUAUUGGUCAAUGGGCGAGAGCCUGAACCAGCCAAGUCGCGUGAGGGAAGACGGUCCUAUGGAUUGUAAACCUCUUUUGCCGGGGAGCAAAAAGCGGUACGCGUACCGCAUCGAGAGUACCCGGAGAAAAAGCAUCGGCUAACUCCGUGCCAGCAGCCGCGGUAAUACGGAGGAUGCGAGCGUUAUCCGGAUUUAUUGGGUUUAAAGGGUGCGCAGGCGGGGAGUUAAGUCAGCGUUAAAUUUCCGGGGCUCAACCCCGACAAGCCGUUGAAACUGACGGUCUUGAGUGGGCGAGAAGUAUGCGGAAUGCGUGGUGUAGCGGUGAAAUGCAUAGAUAUCACGCAGAACUCCGAUUGCGAAGGCAGUAUACCGGCGCCCAACUGACGCUGAAGCACGAAAGCGUGGGUAUCGAACAGGAUUAGAUACCCCUGUAACU
rnacentral:rRNA from 1 species